rnacentral:rRNA from 1 species
CCUACGGGAGGCAGCAGUGAGGAAUAUUGGUCAAUGGACGCAAGUCUGAACCAGCCAUGCCGCGUGAAGGAAGACGGCUCUAUGAGUUGUAAACUGCUUUUGUACGAGGGUAAACGCAGAUACGCGUAUCUGUCUGAAAGUAUCGUACGAAUAAGGAUAGGCGAACUCCGUGCCAGCAGCCGCGGGAAUACGGAGGAUUCAAGCGGUAACCGGAUUUAUUGGGCUUAAAGGGUGCGUAGGCGGUCGGGUAAGUUAGAGGUGAAAGCCCGGGGCUCAACUUCGGAAUUGCCUCUGAUACUGGUCGGCUAGAGAGUAGUUGCGGUAGGCGGAAUGGAUGGUGUAGCGGUGAAAUGCUUAGAGAU